rnacentral:lncRNA from 1 species
GCUUUCAUUUGUGGCUAUUGCUGACAUGAGUGAGGUGUAGAGCCUUUCCAACCUUGGCCAGAGUUCCAGGGUCUCCGGUGGGUAGUAAGGAGCUAGCUUGGGCCCUCCACCCGUCACAACCUACAGGAGUUUUUUUUGACUGUCCAAGAUUCUUGGUUGGACCAGAAAUUGUGAGGGAAUGAUGGACGUUCCAAAUGACAGCAAGAGUAAACCAACAAGAAGCUGGACCACUACAGUCCAAGAAAAGCUCUUGGGUUUGUUGUUGUUUUUUUCUUCAUGUUGGCUCAAAUCUCUAGGACUUAGCUGGGUGCAGUGGUGCACACCCGUAAUCCUAGUGGCUCAGGAGGCUGAGGCAUGAGGACAGUGAGUUCAAAAGCAACCUCUGCAAAAGCAAGACGGUAAGCAAC